GUUCUCGGAUUUCUUCCUCCUCUCGGGUCGGUGGGAGAAGAGCCAGACAGCCUCGUCCCUGAGUGUCGAGAGAAGGAGAAGGAAAAAAGACCCUUCGGCAAGCAAAAAUAGCGCAGGGUCCAGACCUCCUCGGGAGCACGAACCCACGACAGCAAACCCGGAAGCUUCUCUGCCCCUCCUCGCUCACUCCCACCCUUCACCCUCCUCGGGUUUGCAAACACUCGAAGCCAGUAGGUGUGGACCCCGAACCGAGCCGGAUCCAGGUGGAGCAGCCACUCAGACAGGUGGGGACUGGCGUAGGUGAGGGGGCCCGUCGGGCCUGGGGGGUACUAGUGCUCCCAAACUUUCUAAGGAGGGAGGAAACUAAAGAGGCGGGGAGCAAAAUUAAAAUAAAAGAUGGAAUGUCUAGGUGAAUUAACUCGAAAUACUUUUUUUCCCCCCGGAGAAAGAGAGAGUAGUUGGAUCCAAAUUGGAGUUUGGGUAGGGUUCCGUGUACGAAGACAAACGGGAUAUUUGAUUAAAGAGAAUAUAUAUAUAUA